GGAAGUAAAAGUCGUAACAAGGUUUCCGUAGGUGAACCUGCGGAAGGAUCAUUACUGAUUUAGCGAACCGAGCGUUAGCGAGGUUUUGCGAUCAACUUGUAUUUAAAACCCACUCUUCAAUGUAUAAAAUUUGUAUUAAUGAUAAAUUAAAAGAUCACUUUCAACAACGGAUCUCUUGGCUCUCGCAUCGAUGAAGAACGUAGCGAAGUGCGAUAAGUAAUGUGAAUUGCAGUAUUCCGUGAAUCAUCGAACCUUUGAACGCAUAUUGCACUUUCUGGUAUUCCGGAAAGUAUGCCUGUUUGAGGGUCAGUUAAAUAAAAAUCAGUGUUGUUGCCGCUUUCCGUGGUGACGCGUCGGAAUUGAGUCGUCUUCGGUUAAGUGACUUAAAAUUUUAUAUGAUUUUCGAACGUAUUUAAAUUUAUUUGAACGUUUGAUAUCGAAUGCUUAUUAGGUUCGGUCAUCCUCAUGACUCGCGCCUAUAAUUUUUCAUUAAAUGACCUCAAAUCAGGUAAGAAUACCCGCUGAACUUAAGCAUAUCAAUAAGCGGAGGA
rnacentral:rRNA from 1 species